UACGUAGGGUGUGAGCGUUAAUCGGAAUGACUGGGCGUAAAGGGUGCGUAGGCGGUUUGCUAAGACGGAUGUGAAAUCCCUGGGCUCAACCUAGGAACAGCAUACGUGACUGGCAGGCUAGAGUAUAGAAGAGGGGGGUAGAAUUCCACGUGUAGCAGUGAAAUGCGUAGAGAUGUGGAGGAAUACCGAUGGCGAAGGCAGCCCCCUGGUCAUAUACUGACGCUGAGGCACGAAAGCGUGGGGAGCAAACAGG
rnacentral:rRNA from 1 species